ensembl:snRNA U6 U6 spliceosomal RNA
CUCAGUUGGUCAAGAUAUGUUAAAAUUGGAACAAUACAGAGAAGACUAGCAUAGCCCCUGUGCAAAGAUAAUGUGCAAAUUUGUGGUGCAGCAUAAAUUAAA